rnacentral:rRNA from 1 species
CAGUCGCCACGGUAAUACGAGCCGUGCGAACGUUAUCCGGAAUCACUGGGCUUAAAGCGCGUGUAGGCGGGCCGCCACGUCGGCUGCUGAAAUCCCCCGGCUCAACCGGGGAAGUGGCACCGAUACGAGCGGCCUCGAGGGGGGUAGGGGGCACUGGAACUUCCGGUGGGGCGGUGAAAUGCGUUGAGAUCGGAAGGAACGCCCGUGGCGAAGGCGAGUGCCUGGACCCUUUCUGACGCUGAGACGCGAAAGCCAGGGGAGCGAACGGGAUUAGAUACCCCAGUAGUCCCUGUCUCUUAUA